CAGCCGCCACGGGAAGACGAACCGUGCAAACGUUACUCGGAAUCACUGGGCUUAAAGCGCACGUAGGCGGCGACAUAAGUUAGAGGUGAAAUCCCAUCGGCUCAACCGUGGAACUGCCUCUAAUACUGUGUUGCUUGAGGGAGAACGGGGCAUUCGGAACUUCCGGUGGAGCGGUGAAAUGUGUUGAUAUCGGAAGGAACGCCGGUGGCGAAAGCGGAAUGCUGGGUCUCUUCUGACGCUGAGGUGCGAAAGCUAGGGUAGCGAACGGGAUUAGAUACCCGCGUAGUCCCUGUCUCUUAUA
rnacentral:rRNA from 1 species